rnacentral:tRNA from 2 species
GGAGAUGUGGCCGAGUGGUCGAAGGCGCUCCCCUGCUAAGGGAGUAGGCCCGGAAGGGUCUCGUGGGUUCGAAUCCCAUCGUCUCCG